rnacentral:rRNA from 1 species
AACGAACGCUGGCGGCAGGCCUAACACAUGCAAGUCGAACGUGAAGCCACCUUCGGGUGGUGGAAAGUGGCAGACGGGUGAGUAACGCGUGGGAACGUGCCCUUCGGUUCGGGAUAACCCAGGGAAACUUGGGCUAAUACCGGAUACGCCCUUCGGGGGAAAGAUUCAUUGCCGAAGGAUCGGCCCGCGUCGGAUUAGCUAGUUGGUGGGGUAAUGGCCCACCAAGGCGACGAUCCGUAGCUGGUCUGAGAGGAUGAUCAGCCACACUGGGACUGAGACACGGCCCAGACUCCUACGGGAGGCAGCAGUGGGGAAUAUUGGACAAUGGGCGCAAGCCUGAUCCAGCCAUGCCGCGUGGGUGAAGAAGGCCCUAGGGUUGUAAACCCCUUUCAGCGGGGAAGAUAAUGACGGUACCCGCAGAAGAAGCCCCGGCUAACUCCGUGCCAGCCGCCGCCGUAACAC